rnacentral:tRNA from 1 species
AGCCAACUGGCUCAGCUGGUUAGAGCAUCGUGCUCAUAACACGGGGAUCUUGGGUUCGACCCCCAAGUUGGCUA